rnacentral:lncRNA from 1 species
UCCAACGUCCAGAUGCCUGAGGGGACUUUCUCGAGGCUACAGAUGUACUCUCAGCGCCUGCCCUGGAAAAGGCACAACUGCACGUGAACACAGCAUUCGUGUUAGCUGUCCAAGUGCAGUCUGGAUGUUGAGGGCCCCUCUUGCAGAGAGAGGUCCCUAAGACUGGCAUUUCCCAGUAGCAACAGACUUUUAGGUGUUUUGCUAUUCCUUUCCCCAUUUGCCACUUAUCAAAAGCAAGGUGAUAACCAUCUUCUCUGUUUGACGAGGCGCAUCAUAUUUCAAUCUAGCUGUGGAGAAAAUCCCUUUCUUCCUGGAAAGCAGGCAACCUGAAUUGCAAGGUCAGAGAUUCAAAGUUUUCUUUUUUCAAAAUUUAUUUUUAAACCAAGCAGAUGUAUAUCCUAAGUCUCUUACUUAAUCUGAGCU